rnacentral:lncRNA from 1 species
GCGGGUGCAGCGUUCCGCUGUGCACUUCCUGAGGACAGGCACUGGUGCAGGCGGCCCGAUAAGAGUGACUGAGACGCACAGGGCCUGCUGUAGCAGCGCUUCAGCUUGUGCGUUUGCGGGUCCCAGGGGCCGACGGGCGCCUGUUUCUUCCUGCACAAGUCACAAGCCCAGUCUCCUCAUCAGGGGCUUGUGUGCCCAAGUGCAGGGGUACGGCCUGGAGGCCAGAGCUUUCUCCUGCAGCUCCUACCUCGCCCUAGCAUCUAGCAUCUCCCCCUUCGUAGGAGGCGCAGGUGUGCGCGGGGGUGGGGGGGGGGGCUGCGUUGGCCAGAGAGGAGCUUGGGCUCAGAGCCCAGCAUCCUCCCCCCCCCCCCCCCCCGCCCACCUUGCAUGCUUCUCAAGGGGUGGGGAAGGCAGCGAGCGGCAGCCAAGAGCCCUGGCACAAGGAAGAGACCUGGAGUCCAACACCGGCUCUGCUACCGAGCUCGCCAUGUGACCUUGGGGGAGUCACUCCUUUCACCGAGCCUCAGUUGUCUCGCCUGUAAAAUGGGAACGCAGCAGCCACGCGUCUUGGGAUGCUAGCCGUUCAGCAUGGGACGCGGCGGCCGGGCAUGGGGUAAGGAGGGGGUCGGCGGGUGGAGGGGGAGUCCGGGGGUCGCGGGCGUCCUCGGGCGGGCGCUGGGGGGCGCUGCGCACCUCGGGCGGCCCGCCCCGCGGCAAGUUUGCCUCCAGCUGUUGAAUGCGCGCGCGACGGCGCCGGCGGCACCCGGACCCCGGGCUGGGCAGGGCCGGGCCGGGCCGGGCCGGGCCGGGCCGGGCGGGGCGGGGGCGCUCAGCCGUCCGCGGUGCCGCCGCUCCCGGGCGCCGCAGCUGCCGCGCUCCAGCCAGGCGCGGCCCCCACCCCCGGGCGUGUGUCUGCGAGUGUGCGUGUGUCCGUGGAAGCAUCCGGCCGGGAGAGGGGGCGGGAGGGUCUGGCUGCGGAGAGGCCUGCGGAGGGAGCCCGCGCCUGGCCGGCGAGGGCGGACGGACGGACAGACCGCCGGCCGCGGCCCCUGACGCACGCUGCGCCCCGGCCCCCUCCCGGGCGGCGGGGGUGGCGGUGUCUGCGCGCACACGCUCGCUCACAGACACACACACUCACACGGGCCACGCCAUAGACACACGACACUCACCGAGCCACGGCCGGGCGCCGCGCACACUCGCACCCGCGUUCACACUCACUCACGCGCAGGCCCCGCCGCCGCGGUUGCCGGAGGCGGCGCUCAGCCCGGAUCCUGGCUGGGGCUGGAGAAGGAGAGGACUUGGAUGA